CACCACGUCCCUGAGCUAUCCACAGGGCAACAGCGUGACCUCUACCUUGUCAGCUCCCCUUAUUAGAGAGACAUCAGCCCCCAAACUCUGUGAGGAAUGAACGUUUGGGGCAUCCUAGCCCCUCGCCCACCCUGAGUUUGAGGAGUCUGUCACACACACUCCCUCUCCUCUGUGGCACACCACCAGCAUCUUAGUAGGAAACCAGAGGCGAGGGUGUGCACGUCACUGUCUCUGCCUUCCCCACCUCCAGGUCAGCUUCCCAGAUGUGGAAAAGGCUGAAUGGCUCAAUAAGAUUGUGGCCCAGGUCUGGCCCUUCCUGGGCCAGUAUAUGGAGAAGCUUCUGGCUGAAACUGUGGCUCCGGCUGUUAGGGGAUCUAACCCCCAUCUGCAAACAUUUACAUUUACACGAGUGGAACUGGGUGAAAAGCCAUUGCGCAUCAUUGGAGUCAAGGUUCACCCAGGUCAGAGAAAAGAGCAGAUCCUGCUGGACUUGAACAUCAGCUAUGUAGGUGAUGUGCAGAUUGAUGUGGAAGUGAAGAAAUAU
rnacentral:sRNA from 1 species